GAGGGUAGAGCUCAGUGGUAGAGCACGUGCUUAGCACACACAGGGUCCAUGGGUUCAAUCCCCAGUACCUCCA
rnacentral:tRNA from 1 species